GAUGAAGAACGUAGCGAAAUGCGAUACUUGGUGUGAAUUGCAGAAUCCCGUGAACCAUCGAGUCUUUGAACGCAAGUUGCGCCCGAAGCCAUUAGGCCGAGGGCACACCUGCCUGGGCGUCACACGUCGUUGCCCCCCCAUCUACUCCUUCGGGAUUGCGGGGGGCGGAUGAUGGCCUCCCGUGCGCCUCGUCGCGCGGUUGGCAUAAAUGCCAAGUCCUCGGCGACGCACGCCACGACAAUCGGUGGUUGCGAAACCUCGGUUGCCCGUCGUGUGCGGUCGUCGCGCAUCGAGGGCUCGAAAAAAUUGCCGGGCUCCGGCUCGGCUUUCAACGCGACCCCAGGUCAGGCGGGGUUACCCGCUGAAUUUAAGCAUAUCAAUAGCGGAGGA
rnacentral:misc_RNA from 1 species